rnacentral:rRNA from 1 species
GAUAAACGCUGGCGGCGUGCCUAACACAUGCAAGUCGAACGCACUCAAAGCAAUGCGAGUGAGUGGCGGACGGGUGAGUAACGCGUGGAGAUCUACCCCCAAGUGAGGAAUACCGGCGAGAAAUCGCCGACAAUACCGCAUACCCUUCAAGCGCGAGCCUGAAGGAAAGUCUGCAAAGACGCUUGGGGACGAGUCUGCGUCCGAUUAGUUAGUUGGUGAGGUCAAGGCUCACCAAGACCACGAUCGGUAGCUGGUCUGAGAGGAUGAUCAGCCACACUGGGAUUGAGAACGGCCCAGACUCCGUACGGGGGCAGCAGUGAGGUAAUUUUCGUCAAUGGUCGCAAGACUGAACGAGCAACGCCGCGUGCAGGA